rfam:Triticum aestivum genome assembly, contig: Triticum_aestivum_CS42_TGACv1_scaffold_591856_7BS
UUUGUACUCCCUCCGUCCCAAAAUUCUUUUCUCAAAUUUGUCUAAAUACGGAUGUAUGUAGUUACAUUUUAGUGUUAGAUACAUCCGUAUCUAAAAAAAUGUAAGACAAGAAUUUUGGGAAAAAGGGAGUACUAC